AGAGAAAGCACAAAGUUUGAGUCCAAAUUGUUCAUAGAGAUCUGAAGGAGAAAAUUUGCCCUUGUGUAGAAGAUGCUCCGAAUAGGUGAACUGAAUGCAUUGGAGGUAAAAAACCCAAACUAGUCCGCUGAGUGUCAUGGCUGAGACUUUCACUGAAACAUUAUUUUUCUGCUGAUUUGCGAAGCUGGGAUGCCAGGCUGUCCAAGGGUCACUAUUAUAAAGAAAGAACCCACCAAAUGCAAAAGAAAGAAACUCGGAGAGGUUACCAGGAGAAGACAUCAAUUACGGAACUGAAGAGUCGGUCGGUAUGGAGUAGGAAGCAAAUAAGAGGAGCUCUGUAGACACUUUGAUUACCCGUUUCCCCUUUCUCUUUUAUUCUCUUCAAUUAAAAAGAGAGCAAGACAAAAGAAAAGAAGGAAACAGAAAUGACCUGAAUCCUCAAGGUAAAUGAAUGCUGUAGAUUAUGCAAAUGAAUUGUUGAAUCUCUAACUUCUAAACUGGCUAUUGGGAAAACAACCUGAUAACAGGAAACUCUCCCCCAUUUCUAGAGAUUAAUAAGAAUAGUUACACUGUUACUCAUUUCAAACCAGUGUUUGUUGUAAAACCGCAUUCUUUCGUAUGCAUCAUGAAAGCAUAACAUGAAAAACAUCAAAAUGGCCUAAUUUUGGAAGCCAAAUAGCAAAAAUGAAGAAGCCGCUCCCUUUCUCCCCAGUGGUUUGCAAUUGAACCCCAGUUUCCUGAAGUUCAUCCAACCCAAAAGAAGAAAGAAAACAAGAGAAACAAGGAAAGACACAGCUAUCCCGAAAGAAAUGUAUUGAAAAAGAAGAGAGAAAAUGAAAGCAAAAAUUAGUCAUGUAAAGAUGGAGAGACUGAGCUAUAGAAACUGGUCACAUAAAUAGUCAUGAAAUGAAAAGUUUCAGAUUUGUAUUGAAGUAAAAAAAAAAAAAAAACUACUUAGAGAAAGGCCAACAGGCCAGACUAAAUAAUCCUCGACUUACCGUCCAAUUCUGAAUCCCAUAUUAGCUGCAGAGAUUUUAAUGUAAAUAUGCCAUUACACUGUCAUUACAGUGAUCAGGCUUCAUGGCUCACAGGUCACAUCUCAGCCACUGUUAAUUUUGCAGGCAAAAGCUUUUUUUCUCUUGAAAUGUUAAUAACUUUCUAUUAGUUAAUGUAGCGUGACUAAAAUUCAGAUUAGAUAUAAUUCAUUUUAAUAUCUGUGACUGGCUAUCCUGAUCAUUUAGCAAUGGUUUCCAGCUGAAUACAAGAUGCUAAAUUGGACUCAUUUGCAUAGCCCUGUUAAAGCAAUGCCAUUCUAGAAAUGUAGGCAUCUUCAAAUUAAUUUAAAAGAUUUUUUUUUCUCCUGGUUUUGCUACUAGGAUAAAAUCUUUAGUUGGCAACUAAUUGAAGUUACCAUGGGCUGAAUACACAUCCUUUUCUCUGCCUGUCCUCCCAUCCCCCACGAAAAAAAGAAACCAAAACACUCAUCAGGAGUGUUAAUUGGUGAGUGCAGAAGAUACCCAGUGCCUCAGAACGUAGGGAGGGCUCAGUUUAGUAACCGUAAUGUUAAAAUCUGAACAAAUCUGAGCUACUGACAAGGUUUGCAACUACCAGGUCUAGAAGAAAAUUUAAUUCCACCUUUGCAAAUCUGUUUUUAACUCUGCACUAUGUAGAUGCAAUGUAUCACUACCUGUCCUGUAUAUGGGGUCUAGUUUGUUGAAGUAGAUGAUAAAAUCUGCUGCUUUCCAAGGAAGCCUACACCAGGGUGGAAAACACUGUUGUUAUUAAUCAUAGAUAGAGUCUGUUCUUUUCUUCCUUUGCAUACAUAAGACCCAUUAAUGCUAAUGGAAAACACAGACAAUACAUUCAUGCAACAUGGGGCAACCAGACCUCUGACUUAUCAAUGCCAGUUGCUAGACACACAAACAAUCCAGUAAAUACACCUGUGGAAGGGAUUAGGGAUUCUUUGACUGUAACUUGAUCCUGUUUUUUAAACUGUAUCAUAAGUGAUGAUGUUUUCCCCUUUCAAUGAAAAUGCAGACAACUUAAAAUAUUAAUCACUUCCCAGUUCGUCACAAGUCUCAAAAAUUUUGUGUAGAGAAUAGGUAAAUAAUCUUAUACAAUUAGGUCAAAGUUUUGGUUCAGGAACCUUAAAAGAUUCCUAGAAAGUUAAAAACUGAAAUAAAUAAUGUUUUAAAUGUU